rnacentral:rRNA from 1 species
UACGUAGGUGGCAAGCGUUGUCCGGAUUUAUUGGGUUUAAAGGGUGCGUAGGCAGUUGUAUAAGUCAGUGCUGAAAUAUCCCGGCUUAACCGGGAGGGUGGCAUUGAUACUGUAUAACUUGAGUAAAGUUGAGGUGGGCGGAAUUGACGGUGUAGCGGUGAAAUGCUUAGAUAUCGUCAAGAACACAUAUUGCGAAGGCAGCUAACUAAGCUUUAACUGACGCUGAGGCACGAAAGUGUGGGGAUCAAACAGG